rnacentral:rRNA from 1 species
GGGAAAAGCCAGCAAUGCCUAUUCCGAUGCUUCCAAACCGGGAUUAGCUAGUUAGUGAGGUAUAAGCUCCACUUGGUGGACGAUUUUUAGCUGGUUCGAGGGGAUGAUCAGCCCCAUUGGGAUUGAAACACGGCCCCCGACUCCUUCCGGAGGCAGCAGUAGGGAAUAUUGCACAAUGGGGGAAAACCCUGAAGCAGCCAUGCCGCGUGUGGAAGAAAGGCCUUCGGGUUGUAAAGCACUUUCGGAGGGGAGGAACAAAUGACGUUACCCUCAGAAGAAGCACCGGCUAACUCCGUGCCAGCAGCCGCGGUAAUACGGAGGGUGCAAGCGUUAAUCGGAAUAACUGGGCGUAAAGGGCAUGCAGGCGGUCGGACAAGUAGGAUGUGAAAUCCUGGGGCUCAACCUCAGAACUGCAUUCUAAACUGUUCGACUAGAGUAUUGCAGGGGGAGACGGAAUUUCAGGUGUAGCGGUGGAAUGCGUAGAUAUCUGAAAGAACACCAAAGGCGAAGGCAGUCUCCUGGGCAAAUACUGACGCUCAUAUGCGAAAGCGUGGGUAGCAAACAGGAUUAGAUACCCUGGUAGUCCACGCCGUAAACGAUGUUAAUUAGGAGCUUGGACUUAAGUCUGGGUUCCGUAGCAAACGCAAUAAAU